CCCUCCUAAAUCUAAAUCUAAAUCAGCCCUUCUUAGCAGAGCUAAUUAGCCUGAGCACAGUCCACAUUGACACAAUGCUGCCUCUGAUCCUGAGGCUGACUGGGCUGCAAUAGCCUGAAGACGUACAAUGUCUGUGCUCUUUUACGUAGUUUACAUGGAUCUGCGUGUAGAUAUUUUCAAAUGCUGUGAAGAUUUUGACCCAGUGCCAGCAUCACGUAGCCAGUGGGUUGGGAGACAAAGAAGGAAGGCUCCCAUCAGGCUGGGACACCAGAUGAAUGCAAGUAUUUGCAGCUGUGUACAAUCACAAAAAAAAGUGAUUGCUGCCAGGUGGAAAUGGAGUGCUGCUUUCAGACUAAUAUGGCUUUUCCUUCCUUUAAUCCUAUUUUAUGUGGAAGCUGUCCUAGAGCAUCCAGGAGAAAUAACACUGGCCAGUGCCUUCCUGUGGGUCAUAUCACUCUUACCUGUUAAGUUAUGUAUAUGUAAGAGCACAGCUAAAGGAAAAAUAGGUACGUUGUCCCUGGAAGAGAAAUUUAAACAUUUUAAAUAGAGAACAUGAUCUGGCAGAUUACACUACAGGAAGAGAAUUUUCAGUAACAGGCACCGUAACAUAAAUAACCUUGGAAGAUGUGAGAGAAAUCAAGACAUGAGCUUUAGAAGAGAGCUGUCAGAGCCUCCUCCCAUUAAUUCUGACACAGCAGGAUGUUUUGUCUGGUGGUUUGGUAGGAACUCAAGAUUUCUACCGUGCCGGUCCCUUCUGACCCUACAAUCUGUACUUCCCUGGAUCUUGCUUGGAUUAGGUUUCCCACAAGGCAGUCAUUUCUCUGUAGAAGUCAAGCAGUUUGAUUACAUGUGAUUUCCCCUUUUGAAUGCGCUGACUGUUCCUGAUACCUGUCCUCCCCUUCCUGUGCUUGGGAGAGCCAAGUGGUCAUGUUCCAUGGAACAGAGCUGAAGCUGACAGCGCUGUAGUUCCGAGCUGUGAAUAAGGAAAUGAAAGUGCUAUUUCAGGAACAGCUGGAGGAGGCAAAAGAUGGCAUCACAGAAUUCCUAGAUUCUUUUUGUGGUUCUGUUUCUCCCUAAAUGAAAAGAACAUAAGACAGUAAAAAUAUGUAACAUCUCAUACUUCAAUGAAUACAAAUGUACCAAGGAAACCUUCGUACUUUGCUCCAAACUUGCCUCCAAUCCUAGAUGCAGAGCAAGAAUGCAUUGCUUUGAAGUGGUAACACUGAUGCUGAGGUAUUUGUUUUCAUGGUUGAGAGCCCUUUAACAUUUUCUGUUUUAUUCUACUUAGUACAGACUAAUGUUUAACUCAUAUCUUUCUUUUCUAUCAUGACCAAGUGACGUGGUUCCUCUCACCUACACACAUCUGUUUCUACUUAGGAGUUUACUAUGCAAGUGAAGACAGCCCUUCCUACAGCAGUGCUACUCAGUACAUUUUAAGAGUGAUUAAUUUGGGGAUU